rnacentral:rRNA from 1 species
UACGUAGGGUGCGAGCGUUGUCCGGAAUUAUUGGGCGUAAAGGGCUCGUAGGCGGUUUGUCGCGUCGGGAGUGAAAACCUCGGGCUUAACUCGGGGCUUGCUUUCGAUACGGGCAGACUAGAGGUAUGUAGGGGAGAACGGAAUUCCUGGUGUAGCGGUGAAAUGCGCAGAUAUCAGGAGGAACACCGGUGGCGAAGGCGGUUCUCUGGGCAUGAUCUGACGCUGAGGAGCGAAAGUGUGGGGAGCGAACAGG